rnacentral:rRNA from 1 species
AGGAGGCAGCAGUGAGGAAUAUUGGUCAAUGGGCGAAAGCCUGAACCAGCAAUGCCGCGUGAGUGAUGAAGGCCUUCGGGUUGUAAAGCUCUGUCAGUGGGAACGAAUAAGCCGAUUAAUACUCGGUGGUGACGGUACCCACAAAGGAAGCACCGGCUAACUCUGUGCCAGCAGCCGCGGUAAUACAGAGGGUGCAAGCGUUGUUCGGAAUUACUGGGCGUAAAGCGCGUGUAGGCGGUCUAGCAAGUCGGGUGUGAAAUCCCUUGGCUUAACCAAGGAACUGCAUUCGAAACUACUAAACUUGAGUAUCGGAGGGGGUGGCGGAAUUCCCGGUGUAGAGGUGAAAUUCGUAGAUAUCGGGAGGAACACCUGUGGCGAAGGCGGCCACCUGGAAGAUUACUGACGCUGAGACGCGAAAGCGUGGGGAGCAAACAGGAUUAGAUACCCCGGU